rnacentral:lncRNA from 1 species
AAAACCUUUUGGAUCCAGCUGCACAUGCUGAGUUUGUGAGGGCCACUUCGGAGGUGCUUCCCAAAAUACUGCGUAAGUUACAAGGCUUUUGGUCGAUUCCAGACAACAAAAUACAAAAGUGGAUUAAGAGUUUGAUUUCAUAGUUAAUGGUUUUCAUUGUGUUGAAUGAUUUGUUUUCAUUAUGUUUUAGAAAAACUGCAUCAUGAUCAGAGGCAGCUGGACCUGUUCUUUGGCCUCCUCGGUGCGGUCAUGAUUGUAACCUCUGGUCACAGGCCAGGAGAAACCAUGAACCUCACCGUGGAGGAAUUUCAUUUCUCCAAAGAAGGAAGAGAUGGCCAUGCCAUUUAUGUGAGUGUUGUAGUAGUCAUUGUUUUGUUUGCAUUUGUCUGUUUAUAUAUAUAUAUAUAGUCGUACACUUAUUCAUAAUUAUCUUACUUUACAGAUCAAAAAGCACAAAACAUGUGCAACAUUCGGUCAUGUGAUACUCUCCAUCACAAAGGGGGAGUAUAAUUGCAUGUCCGAAUUUCUAAAAAUCUGUGGAAGUUUUGAGGGGAGCCAGUCAGCCCUCUUCUUUUUCAAUUCGAAGGGUGGGGUGUUCAAGGGCCUCCUCAAAGCUUUCACUGCUGCAUGGGAGUUUGUGGGCCUCCCAAAACCGGCCCCAACUUUCAUGGCCUUGAGGAACUCUAUGUCCACUCAGAAAACCUUUUGGAUCCAGCUGCCCAUGCUGAGUUUGUGAGGGCCACUUCGGAGGUGCUUCCCAAAAUACUGCAAAAACUACAUCAUGAUCAGAGGCAGCUGGACCUGUUCUUUGGCCUCCUCGGUGCGGUCAUGAUUGUAACCUCUGGUCACAGGCCAGGAGAAACCAUGAACCUCACCGUGGAGGAAUUUCAUUCCUUUAAAGAGGGCAGAGAUGGCCAUGACAUUUGUGUGAGGGUUGUAGUAGUCAUUGUUUUGUUUGCAUUUGUCUGUUUAUAUAUAUAUAGUCAUACACUUAUUCAUAAUUAUCUUACUUCACAGGUUAAAAAGCACAAAACAUGUGCAACGUUCGGCCAUGCAAUACUCUCCAUCACAAAGGGGGAGUAUAAUUGCAUGGCUGAAUUUCUAAAAAUCCGUGGAAGCUUUGAGGGGAGCCAGUCAGCCCUCUUCUUUUUCAAUUUGAAGGGUGGGGUGUUCAAGGGCCUCCUCAAAGCUUUCACUGCUGCAUGGGAGUUUGUGGGCCUCCCAAAACCGGCCCCAACUUUCAUGGCCUUGAGGAACUCUAUGUCCACUCAGGUGAACCAAGCUGUCCCUCACAAUGAGGAGAACAUACUUUUGGAGGAAGAUAUAUGUUUUCCUUCCAACAUGAGCAAGAAGCAAACUGAACAUUAACCAAGCUCCAAUUAAUUAAUC